CCGACGACAUACCGACGAUUUUUUCCCUCAGUAUACCGAUGUUUUCUUGUAGUGUUUUUGGAAUAAAAUGGUGAGACUGUCCUCCCUAUGUAAAUAAAUUUCAACGGAUAUUUUUCUCUUUUGUAUCCUCUAAUAUAGAAAAAGAUGAAAAACCCACAGUGGGCCUUGAACACACAACCACAAGUUUAAGAGCCUUGCACUCUACCAACUGAGGUAGACGGACUUGUUUCUCUCGACGGCCUAGAUGAGAUGUUAUUUCUUCUUUAUGACCUACAACUGUCUUUUUUUCUUCUUCUUUUUUUUUUUGUAACAGACUUACAAUUGUCUAAACCAUCAUUUUUAUGUAAACCUAUUAGUAAUAAGUUAACCAUUUAAUAUCCAAAACAAAUUAAAUUGAGUUCAGUUCCUGAUUUAGUUCAUCUAGUAAAAUUGAGAACCAACUAACAUCCCAAAAAAUGUUUAGUUCGAUUCUGUAAGACUGUAACUUCAAUUCUGAAAACUCAGUGUGUUUUAAAUUCAUAUAUCAUUAAUACCGAGAAAACUGCCAAUAAAACUCUGAACUUUAAAAUUAAACCCAAAAAAACUUUCAGCUUGUGUUUGUACCAAAAAAUUCUCCAAAUUUUAAAUGUUGAUCAUUUUAACUCUUAUUUUUUUUACUGGGUCAUUUAGAAACUCGGAAAAUCAACUAUUAAACCGUAAAUGUCUGUUAACUUGCUAAACGGUGUUGUUUUAAAUACUAAUUAAAAAUUCUUCUUCAACACCAAUACCAUUAUUCUCAGCCUUAUUAUCAUUCUCAUUAGUCUCACUAUCAUCUUCAUUAUCAUCUUUUUCACCGACUUGAUUUUGUUGUUCAAUCGUAGAUUCCCUAAUACUUUUCAUUUAAGAUCUCUUACUACGACGAACCCGAAGUAACCUCAUCGUCCUAGCCAUCGUUUGCAUUAUCAAUGAAUCUGGGUUUUAGAGAUUAGAAGAUUGAGAGAUUAGAGAAUUAGAAAAUUUAGGUUUCGGGAAAUAGAAGAUGAUUUAAAUGGUUACAGAUGUAAAACCGCAUUAUUUCAUUAAUGUUUAAUCAUUUCUUAAAACGUUGUCGUUGAGCGAGAUAACAGAUGUUUACAAGUUUAACAGUUGACUUUACAGGUUUUUAAAAUGGUCUAGUCAGCCAAAAAUGAGAGUUAAAAUGACUAACAUUUGAAAGUUGGAGUAUUUUUGGCUUUAAUUUGAAAGUUUAAAGUUUUUAUGGCGGUUUUCUCCAUUAAUACUUGAAAAUCUUGUAUGCUUUAAGAAUCUUGCAUUAUUUAUGGCAUUUAAAAAAUGAAUUUAUGGUAUCUUUCGUUUUCGUUAGUUUAAGUUUUUAUGUUGAUUUUCAAAAAGAAAAAAUAGAUGAUAUAUACGACGCUUGACAAAUAUCAAAUGAAUAACAUUGAAUGACACCCAGAUACGUUAUUUUUUUCUUACCUCCCUCUUUUGUAUUUUACUGCAACUAACGUAGUCCUAAGUUUGAAUAAUAUAAAAAAACAUUGAAUGACACUUAUUUUUCUUAUUAGAAAAAUUAAUGUAGUUCUAAGUAUGACUAACAUUUACUAACAUUGAAUGACACUUAACUUUCUUAUUAGAAAAACUAGUUCUAAGUAGGUAAUUUACUGUUGAAAAAUAAUAAUUUCCUUAAGAUUAUAUAAAUGACAAUACAUGCAAGAAAAUUUAUUUUAUUUCAGUAUAACACUAAAUAUAGAUGAUAUAUGACAAUUGAGCUAAUAUUGAUAAUAUUAUUUUUCCUAUUUUAUUAUAUUAUAUUUUACCUCUUUAAGAUGAUCAUUAAAUAUGUGAAGAUUUUUAACUGCAAGUCAGAACACUAUAUAUGUAUGGCGAAUUGACAAUAAACCAAACAUCACAUACUGUUUACAAAUAAAAUAAACAAAGAGAGAAAUACAUUAUAAGAUCAUCUAAAGCCAAACAAAAAUGAUUUCAAAGACAACUUUCAUAUACCUAUUCAUGUUCUCCCUUUAUGCUUUGCAUCAGUUUACACAAUUGGAUGCUGGAGAAAUAGAGAGUUCGAGCAAGAUAAUUCUUCCUCCAAAAUGUGUCCCUUACAUUUGUUAUGGAGUGAAUUGUUGGUGCUGUAAGAGGGAUCCAGUGGGCGAUGGUCAAUGUUUCAAAACCCUAGAAGAAUGCAAGUCCAAUCGCAAAUGUCCUUGGCUGUAACUGGUUGUUAUUAAAUGGAAUGUACGGGAUGAAAGGAAUUAAAAAAUUUGGAAUACUAAAAAUGGAAUGACAGACAAAAUAGAAUAAAAACUGAAACUAGUUAAUUCCA